UUAAAACUGAUGUUUAUAAGUUAAGGCUGUAAUAAGUGUAGAUUGUGAAGCACUGAAUCUGGGCUGAGCCAUAGCAGACAGGCUGAGCCUGGCCGCCUCGUCCUCCUCUUGCAGGGGGGAGCCUUCUGUGCUGUGAGUCCUGCCCAGCGGCCUUCCACCCUGACUGCCUGAACAUCGAGAUGCCUGACGGCAGCUGGUUCUGCAAUGACUGUAGGGCUGGGAAGAAGCUGCACUUCCAGGAUAUCAUUUGGGUGAAACUUGGGAACUACAGAUGGUGGCCGGCAGAAGUUUGCCAUCCCAAAAAUGUUCCCCCAAAUAUUCAGAAAAUGAAGCACGAGAUUGGAGAAUUCCCUGUGUUUUUCUUUGGGUCUAAAGAUUAUUACUGGACGCAUCAGGCGCGAGUGUUCCCGUACAUGGAGGGGGACCGGGGCAGCCGCUACCAGGGGGUCAGAGGGAUCGGAAGAGUCUUCAAAAACGCACUGCAAGAAGCUGAAGCUCGUUUUCGUGAAAUUAAGCUUCAGAGGGAAGCCCGAGAAACACAGGAGAGCGAGCGCAAGCCCCCA
rnacentral:sRNA from 1 species